ensembl:lncRNA
CCAGCCCAAGACUCUGAGUAAUGAUACCAAAGAACCAGACCAAGAUUCAAAGUAUCAAGACUAUAAAUAAUGUCACCUAUUCAGACAGAGAGCCAGACCAAGAUUCAAAAUGAAUGAAACAGAGAUCCGGAUGAAAACUGAGAAGUGAGAAGACCAAGAUACAGACCAGAAUUCAGAAUAAUGAGACCAAAAUAGAGACCAACACUCUGUGUAAGGAGACCGAGAUCCAGACUAGUACUAACCAAGCCUGAGACCUAGAUGGAAAUUCAGUCAUAAGACUGAGAUCCGCAUAAAGAUUUAGUGUAAUGAGACCAAGAUCCAGACCAAAACUGAGAGUAAAGACACUGAGAUCCAGACCAAACUUCUGAGUAAUAAGACUGAGACCCAGAUGAAACUCUGAGCAAAGAUCCCAAGAUCUCCCCCAAAAAGUCAGACCAAAACUUUACACCAGAUCAAGACCAUGAGAUCUUAACUUCAACUCUGGUGUGUGUGUGUGUGUGUGUGUUCUGUGUGUUGAUUCAUGGUGUGCAUGAUUUGUUUGAUGGUAUGUCAGUUUUGGAAGUGUGUUUGUUCAUGUGUUUUUGCUGUCAAUAAUCAGCACUACUGCUGAUGUUGAAACGAAGCCCUUACCUCAUCUAGUCGUUAUUCUGUCUAUGUGCCUGUGUUUAUUCUGGCUAUGAGCCCUGUCUACAGGCAGGCUGAUUAGCAAAUCCUGAGACAUACUUAACCUUCCAACUGAACACACAAACUUACAAUUCUCAUGCAUACACAUCAUAGCUCCAGAAACCAUUUAACAUCACGAGCUUGAUAAAAUACACCAUCCUCUCUGCGAUACAGUAACCGUGCAAUGUGGCAAUGUGUGUUUGUUACUUAAAGUUUAAAUAGUAAUAAUAGUGUCUGUUUAUUAUUUUUUUUUAUUAGACGGUGUAUAGGUAAUUAAUUCCAAACAGACAUGCCAUGAAGUCUUCAGGAUGGAUAUACGGGGAUGUGAGAAUGUUAUUUAUGUUCUGACGUUCUUUAACAAAGAUGUUUGAAUGUCGUCGGUGAAAUUCUUAACAUCGUGUCAAAUAUUCACCUGUUUUUCAGCACCUUGUCUGUUCAAAUUCUGCAUUAAUUCCACAGUGGCACCCCAGACUUGCAUUAUGUAAGCUGAACAAAAAAAGGGUUUAAUAAAACGUGUGCUAGAAGUUAAAUUAGAUUUGUACCCGUUUCAGUGGGCAGUCGAUGUGUUGUUCCUGUGGGUCUCUGUCCAUUUAGUGUACUGCCGAGUCACGCAGGUUUGUACUUGAAAUCUGUUUUGUUCUUAUCGUCUCUUACUGUAUCUCAGAAUUCUGAUUCAUACUACUAUAAUGGCAUGAAUAAAUCUGUACUGCCAAAGCUAGUCAUAGAAUCAAUCUAUAUAUAAUAUGCAACAGAACAUUAGUGUUACAUACACACAUGCAUAUAUAGAUAUAUAUGUAUGUAUGAAAUAAUAUUGUUCACUGGAGGAAAUCAAGACACUCGCCUCCGUUUUGUAAAUGUGGUUCUUUCGAGGGAUAUGUAAACUGUAUUAGUGAUUAUAUUCCUUAUGUAAUUCAAUAAAACGUGUUGAAGACCGUUACCAUUGUGUUCUCUUCACUUUGUGCAUGGUUUUAAAGUUUAGACACGCGGAGAACACCACGGCUCACGGCCAGGGUGUUCGCCAAAGACUUGGUGACUUUGUUGCAGGUGCAAAUUUGAUGUGCUCCGUCCAAAACUUUAUCAAGAGAGGACAAGGGCUCUGGCUACACAGUCGACCCACCCGCCCCGGG